rnacentral:rRNA from 1 species
UACGGGGGGUGCGAGCGUUGUCCGGAAUCACUGGGCGUAAAGGGCGCGUAGGUGGUUUGAUAAGGGUGUGGUGAAAGCCCGGGGCUCAACCCCGGGUCUGCCGUGCCGACUGUCAAACUCGAGGGCUGUAGAGGCAGACGGAAUUCCGGGUGUAGCGGUGGAAUGCGUAGAGAUCCGGAGGAAGACCGGUGGCGAAGGCGACUUACUGGACACAUAUUGACGCUGAGGUGCGAAAGCGUGGGGAGCAAACAGG